GGGCGUGUGGUCUAGGGGUAUGAUGUUCGCUUCGCAUCUUUGUUCUGUCAUAUCAGACAGGCGAUAUAUCUUUGCGAAAGGUCGAGGGUUCAAUUCCCUCCUCGUCCA
rnacentral:tRNA from 1 species